rnacentral:rRNA from 1 species
GAUGAACGCUGGCGGCGUGCCUAAUACAUGCAAGUCGAGCGAACAGAUGAGGAGCUUGCUCCUCUGACGUUAGCGGCGGACGGGUGAGUAACACGUGGAUAACCUACCUAUAAGACUGGGAUAACUUCGGGAAACCGGAGCUAAUACCGGAUAAUAUAUUGAACCGCAUGGUUCAAUAGUGAAAGACGGUUUUGCUGUCACUUAUAGAUGGAUCCGCGCCGCAUUAGCUAGUUGGUAAGGUAACGGCUUACCAAGGCAACGAUGCGUAGCCGACCUGAGAGGGUGGUCGGCCACACGGGAACUGAGACUCGGUCCAGACUCCGACGGGAGGCAGCAGUAGAGAAUCUUCCGCGAUGGGCGAAAGCCGGACGGAGCAACGCCGCGUGAGUGAUGAAGGUCUUCGGAUCGUAAAGCUCUGUUAUUAGGGAAGAACAAAUGUGUAAGUAACUAUGCACGUCUUGACGGUACCUGAUCAGAAAGCCACGGCUAACUACGUG